rnacentral:rRNA from 1 species
AUGGGAGGUGUGGGUAAGACCACUUUGGUUGAUCAUGUGUACAAGGCCGUGAAGACAAACUUCAGUAUUUCUGCGUGGAUAACUGUAUCAAGUAGCUACCAAGUUGGAGACUUGUUAAAACAGAUCGCCAGUGAGUUGGGCAUUAAAGUUGAUGCCACCAACGCAAACAGGAACCUGGUUGAGGUAAUCUGUAGCUAUCUUCAAGGUUCAGAAUAUUUCAUAGUUCUGGAUGAUGUUUGGCAUUUGGAUGUCUGGUUUAAGAUAAGGAAUGCAUUUCCUACAGAAGGCACUGGUCGUUUUGUCAUCACCACUAGAAUUCAGGAGGUAGCAUUGUUGGCAACAAAAAUUUGUACAAUCAAAUUGGAACCAUUAGAAAGACAUUAUGCGUGGCAGUUAUUUUGCAAUGAAGCCUUUUGGAACAAUGGGGACAAAACAUGCCCAAAGGAACUAAAAGAUUUGGCUCAAAUGUUUUUGGAUAAGUGUGGUGGCUUGCCCAUUGCUAUUGCUUGUGUAGGCCGCUUGUUGUCAUGCAGGCAUCUAACUUACUGUCAAUGGGAAAGUUUAUACAAGGAGCUAGAGUCGCAGCUUAGUAAUAAUGUGAUACUCGAUGUUAAUAUUGUUCUGAAAGUCAGCUUGCAGGACCUUCCAACGGAUCUGAAGAAUUGUUUUCUGCACUGCACAAUAUUUCCAGAGGAUUAUCUAUUCGGAAGAAAAGGGGUAAUCAGGCAUUGGAUCGCAGCUGGAUUCAUUAAAAAAACAUCGAACAGAACAUUGGAAGAAGUGGCAGAGGGCUACCUGAACGAACUUGUAAACAGAAGCCUACUGCAGGUUGUCAAGCGGAAUUUGUGUGGCCGAGUUCGCAGGUUCCGAAUGCAUGACAUUAUCCGUGUUCUUGCCCUCGCUAAAUCAGAAGAGGAAUCCUUUUGCCAAGUUUACAAUGGCUUAAGACCCUUUUCGACCGAGAACACGCGUCGUCUGUCAGUUCAGAGUACAAACAUGGAACAACUGGCCCCAUUGUUGUGUGCAACAAGUCUCCGCUCUCUGCAUGUUUUCACGAAUCAUCUGAGUACUGAUUCUCUAGAGGCUUUCCUCAAACCUUUCAACUUGCUGUCAACAUUGGAUCUGCAAGGAGUUCGAAUCGGGAGACUACCUAAGAUGGUCUUCAACUUGUUUAAUCUGCGCUUUCUAGGUCUUCGACAGACCUAUAUUGAGCAUCUCCCAAAAGAAAUAGGAAGGUUACAGAACCUGGAAGUCCUUGAUGCUUGCUAUACUAUGCUAAUGGUGCUUCCCGUGGAAGUAGCCACACUUUGGAAAUUGAAAUACCUGUAUGUGGUUACUUUAGAACCUGGAGCUGUCGAGGUGCCCAAGGGUAUCGGCAAUUUAACUGAUUUGCUGGCCCUGCAACUUAUCAAAGCUAACAGUGAGGUUCUGUGUCAGCUAGGAUGUUUGACCAAACUAAGAACUUUUGGUAUCACUAAAGUUAGGAGUGGUCAUUGUGCAGAUUUGUGUAGGGCAAUCACGAAAAUGGUUCAUCUUGUUCAUGUAACAAUCUAUUCAGUUGAUCGAAGGGAAGUCCUGCAGCUGGAAUCACUUUGCUUACCACCAACUGUAUCAAAAGUUGAGAUAUAUGCACAGCUAGACCAAAGAAUUCUACCUCAGUUUAUCUCAUCCAGUUCAAAGCUUAUUAACCUCACUGAUUUACAUUUGGGUUGGUCCAAAUUAUAUGAAGACUCUUUUGCGUGCAUCUUGGGUUUGCAUGGCUUAGUUACACUUGUCCUUAAUAUGGCUUAUGAUGGAAAGGAGCUGAACUUCCGUGCAACGUCACUUCCAAAACUCAAAUCACUAGAGAUACGGGAUGCUCCAAAUCUCAACAGAGUUACAAUUGAACAAGGUGCGAUGCAAAACAUUGUGAACCUAAGUCUUCUGGACUGUGAAUUGAAGGAUCUUCCUCAUGGCAUCGAGCAUCUUAGAACCCUGGAGUACCUGCAGCUGCAUGAUAUUUCUGAAGAGCUGGCACGGAAGCUUCAGCUGAAUGAGGAAUCAAAGGAAUGUGAUGAAGAUUGGAUGAAAAUUAGCCAUGUGAGACAGGUUGAGUUUCGUUAG